rnacentral:rRNA from 1 species
AGGUGCCAUCAUACCAGCUUUAAUGCACCGGAUCCCAUCAGAGCUCCGCAGUUAAGCGCUCUUGGGCUAGAGUAGUACUGGGAUGGGUGACCUCUCGGAAAGUCCUAGUGUUGCACCCU